rnacentral:rRNA from 1 species
UUAGCAAGGGCCGGGUAAGACCGGUGCCAGCCGCCGCGGUAAUACCGGCGGCUCGAGUGGUGGCCGAUAUUAUUGAGUCUAAAGGGUCCGUAGCCGGCUUUGCAAGUCCCCUGGGAAAUCCAGCGGCUUAACCGUUGGGCUUCCAUGGGAUACUACAUUGCUUGGGACUGGGAGAGGUAGGAGGUACUCGGGGGGUAGGGGUGAAAUCCUGUAAUCCUCCGGGGACCACCGGUGGCGAAGGCGUCCUACCAGAACAGGUCCGACGGUGAGGGACGAAAGCUAGGGGCACGAACCGGAUUAGAUACCCGGGUAGUCCUAGCCGUAAACGAUGCCCGCUAGGUGUCACGACGGUCGUGAAUCGUCGUGGUGCCGUAGGGAAGCCGCGAAGCGGGCCACUUGGGAAGUACGACCGCAAGGUUGAAACUUAAAGGAAUUGGCGGGGGAGCACCACAACGGGUGGAGCCUGCGGUUUAAUUGGAUUCAACGCCGGGAAGCUUACCGGGAUCGACAGUUGUAUGAAGGCCAGGCUGAAGACCUUGCCGGACUAGCUGAGAGGAAGUGCAUGGCC